ACCUUGGUGGUACAAUAGCAGCACACGCGCCCAAUAAGAGCAAGACACGGGUUCAACUCCCGCGUGAGGUC